ensembl:lncRNA LOC120099104 uncharacterized LOC120099104
CGACAACGACGACGACGACGACGACGACGACGACGACGACGACGACGACGCCACCACCACAACAACAACAAAGCAUGGAUUAAAAAUAACAUCACUAGGAAUCCAUGGUCAUGGUGAUUUAUCACAGAAACAGACAGAAUUCGGUUUGUAGAAUAUUCUGCCCUCAAACUCACAGAAACAUGUCUGCCACUGUUUGUUGAGUGCUGGGAUUGAAAGCCUGUGAGACCACCACCCUUAAUUGCCAAUCUCUGCAGCCAGAAAACAUGUGUUGGCAUAAGAACAUAAGACUGAAACAUAGAAUAUUAUAUCUGUGGGCUCCAGAGAAGAAAAGAAUUUAAAACUGUGAAAUGGUGAAGGG